UACGAAGGGGGCUAGCGUUGCUCGGAAUCACUGGGCGUAAAGGGUGCGUAGGCGGUUCUUUAAGUCAGGGGUGAAAUCCUGGAGCUCAACUCCAGAACUGCCUUUGAUACUGAGGAUCUUGAGCUCGGGAGAGGUGAGUGGAACUGCGAGUGUAGAGGUGAAAUUCGUAGAUAUUCGCAAGAACACCAGUGGCGAAGGCGGCUCACUGGCCCGAUACUGACGCUGAGGCACGAAAGCGUGGGGAGCGAACAGG
rnacentral:rRNA from 1 species